AAUAUUGGGGUGAAUAAAGAACUUGUAGUUAUAUUUUAACUAUUAUAUAUCUGCAUAAACCUGUAAUAGUAACUUACCCAUUUUUUAAAUAAAGUUUUUUGUUUCUCUUAAAUUAGGUGCUCUUGAUGAGGCGCUGGAAAAAAUAAAGGAGCUGGAGGAACUGGUGUCAAGCCUUACCAUCUCUCGAGCUUUGCUGGAUAAAUGGUGUGUGUCUGAUGAAGACCUCAGAUACUUUAUAAGAUUCCCAAACAAAAACAUAUUUUUUGUUUUCUGGAGAUCAAUUGAGCCCUCUGCAUCCAGGAUUGUGUACUGGUCCAAAGCCAAGUGGAUUGGAGUUUCAAUGGUACAGAAAGAGGUUGUGAAGCCAAGCCAUCAGCGCAAGAUGGAGCUCAGCUCAUUGAUGAGUUUUUUAUGUUUUCUUUGCGAGUUGCUGUCGGCCUUAGAGAGAGAGAGUUUUGCCGAGAUUUUUCAAGUAAGCACUUCUACAGUGAGUUGCAUUACCAUCACAUGGUCAAACUACCUGUACCUUGUGUUGGGUUAAGUUUAAAUCUGUAUGACCCGGGAGCAUGUGAGGCGAACAAUGCCUGUAUAAUUCCAGCAGUACUGCCCAAAUGUGAGGGUCAUUAUUGAAUGCACAAAGUUUAGAUCUGAGAGCAAUUACCCUCCACUCUGAAACCUUUUCAACCUACAAGAGCUAUACCACCUUCAAAGCUUUAAUUGGAGUGGCACCCUGUGGGCAAUCACAUUUGCAUCCAAGUUAUUCACUGGGUUUAUCUCUGACAAGGAGUUGACAAGGCAGUCAGGGAUUUUGAACUUACUGGAGCCGGGUGACGAGGUUAUGGCUGAUAAGGGCUUCCUCAUUGGAAAGUUUCUGGAGGAUGUUAAGGCAAAAUUAAUCAUCCCCCCUUUCAAGCACAGAGACCAGUUUAGCAGAAAGGAAACUGAGAGAACCCAGGCCAUUGCCAGACUUCGCAUCCUUGUUGAACGUGCAAUUAGACGAGUAAAAGAGUACCACAUUUGGGAUUCUCCAAUUCCCCUCACUUUAGCAGGCACUGUUAAUCAGAUGUGGUCUUGCUGUUGCAUGAUGGCAAAUUACCAAGGUCCUUUAGAUCUGGAAGGUGAGAUACAAUACUGGACAGUGUGAACACCUACUUACCUGUCAUUAACAUCACCUCCUCACCAACAGUAACAUCGGCCCACCUCCUCCUGCUCACCAGCCAGUAACAUCGGCCCACCUCCUCUUGCUCACCUGUCAGUAACAUCGGCCCACCUCCUUCUGCUCACCAGCCAGUAACAUCGACCCACCUCCUCCUGCUCACCUGCCAGUAACAUCGGCCCACCUCCUCCUGCUCACCUGCCAGUAACAUCGGCCCACCUCCUCCUGCUCAUCAGCCAGUAACAUCGGCCCACCUCCUCCUGCUCACCAGCCAGUAACAUCGGCCUACCUCCUCCUGCUCACCAGCCAAUAACAUUGGCCUACCUCCUCUGGCUCACCAGCCAGUAACAUCAGCCACCACCUCAUUAUCAGCCAGUAACAUCGGCCCACCACCUCAUCAUCAGCCAGUAACAUUGAUCUUUUUAACAUUGAAGUUUUUUUUUUAUUACCGCAAGACUCUUCAGUCAACCUUGCUAUAACCAGAGAAGACCUUGUCCUGAUCUAGCUUACUUUGUGACACUGUGGUGCAUUUUCUGUAAACCAGUAACAACAGACAACACCUCAUCAACAGCCAGUAACAUUGGCUCACCACCUCAUCAACAGCCAGAAAUAUCGGCCACCAUCUUAUCAACAGCCAGUAAGAUAUUGCAUUUAGGUCAAUAUUCUUAUUAAUUGUGGUCACACAGAACUUCACAUUAAUGUAGUGCACAUACACACAUUUUAUAACACACAUUAUCUCUUCGUUUACUUAAACAGAACCAGAGAAGAGCUUGUCCUGAGCUAGCCUACUUAUUUACAAGUACUCCCAAAAGUGCUAUUACGCCAUACAAUAUAGUUCCUCUUUUAAAUCCGCUUAGAAAAGCGCUACGUUUUAUUUUGUACCACCAAACUUGCUCGUAUAACUACUCGUCUUAAAUAGGAAAAAUGUUGAUGUGUUUGGUCACUUCUAACUUUAUCUCUAAAUGGUACCAUUGAAUGAAUGGGGCUAAGCUAAAUGCUAUCGAAGCGUCGCAGCGCGCUCCAGCGCUUACGUGCACGCACACAGAUGAUAGAGGGAUGUAUCAACAAUUCUUAGUUAAGGUAAUAACAUAUUUUAAUAUUGAAAAUGAGUAGACUAUUCCUUU